rnacentral:rRNA from 1 species
CGCCCCCGCGCGCGGCGGGCCUACGGGAGGCAGCAGUGGGGAAUAUUGCACAAUGGGCGCAAGCCUGAUGCAGCCAUGCCGCGUGUAUGAAGAAGGCCUUCGGGUUGUAAAGUACUUUCAGCGGGGAGGAAGUGUUUGGUUAAUACCCUCAUCAAUUGACGUUACCCGCAGAAGAAGCACCGGCUAACUCCGUGCCAGCAGCCCGGUAAUA